AUGCUCGAUUUGGCAGCACAUACACUAAAAUUGGAAUGAUACAGAGAUUAGCAUGGCCCAUGUGCAAAGAUGACAUGCAAAUUCAUGAAGCAUUCCAUAUUUGG
rnacentral:snRNA from 1 species